GACGAACGCUGGCGGCGUGCCUAACACAUGCAAGUCGAACGGAACUGUUUUGAAAGAUUUCUUCGGAAUGAAUUUGAUUUAGUUUAGUGGCGGACGGGUGAGUAACGCGUGAGUAACCUGCCUUCAAGAGGGGGAUAACAUUCUGAAAAGAAUGCUAAUACCGCAUGACAUAUCGGAACCACAUGAUUCUGAUAUCAAAGAUUUUAUCGCUUGAAGAUGGACUCGCGUCCGAUUAGUUAGUUGGUGAGGUAACGGCUCACCAAGACCGCGAUCGGUAGCCGGACUGAGAGGUUGAACGGCCACAUUGGGACUGAGACACGGCCCAGACUCCUACGGGAGGCAGCAGUGGGGGAUAUUGCGCAAUGGGGGCAACCCUGACGCAGCAACGCCGCGUGAAGGAUGAAGGUUUUCGGAUUGUAAACUUCUUUUAUUAAGGACGAAAAUUGACGGUACUUAAUGAAUAAGCUC
rnacentral:rRNA from 1 species